UAUGAAGGGAAAAAAACACAACAACACACGCAUGGGCUCGCCUCCUCUCCCUCUCGCCCAUUAAGUCGCCGCCGCCGCCGCCCACACCGGCCGCUUCCGGCGACCUCCAGCGUCGUGCAGCAUGCCCCCGAGCUCCCCACGGUCCGCGCCUCCCUUCCCUCCGGCUAGAUUCUCCGCUCCCGGACUCUACCGCACGCUCGCAACCCCACCCCGUGGCUAGGGUUUCGGGCAGGGCUUCGCCGGCGCGUCUCCGGCGACCCCAGAUGGAGCACGCCGUGAGAUUUCCCCAUCCACCACGGUCGCCGCCGUCAAGGGCUUCUUCACGGAUCUGGGACGCCAUGGACAUGCAGCUCCUCAAGGACUUUCUAUUGAAACAUCUUGUCCAUCAUGUGUAGAACACGAUGCACCGUUAAGUCAAGGUUCAGGACGACGUAUAUCGUAGCCCCAUGCUGGCUUUUUUCCAAUGCAGGACCUUCUACAUCUCUGCAUAUCGAUCCAUUUUGGACCUCAGUAAGUAACUCAGUUUGCAUCACUUCCCUUAAUUGAACUAGAUAAAGAACCAUAGGUCAGUGCUAACUGGUACCUGGGAAAGCACAUAUUGUGGAAAGUUAAAAGGGUUAUGAUGAUGAACGUAGAGUAUCAGUCCACCAAGUCAAAGUUAAUUUGAUAUGUUCAAGUUAACCAUGGAUCAAUUCUGGAAUGUUUGUUAGCUGAAAUUGUAGGCAGUUCAUCUCUGGAGUUAUACCAUCUUUUCUUGGAGUAGUCUUCCCUUCAAGUAUUUCAUCUCUUAUCUAUUAAAAUAAAUGUUAAUAGAAAAGACAUCUUUGGUCUCAAGAAUUAGUAAUACUCCCAUUUGUAUUUCCUAAUCAUAUUUUUUCAUUUUUGAAUUACAUCAAACCUAUGUCUAGAUUGUAUACUACCCCGCCCAGCGUUAUUACUUUGGCUGUAUCUAACUUUAGUCAGUAAUUGAUAUACCUAUAAUUGUUGUUCUGCACCUAUGUCCACAGUCCACACUUCUCUAGAUGGUCACACUUUUGAUGUUGAACUGACUUCAGAUCUCUAAACAAAGGAUUUGCAGCAUAUAUAGAUGCAUUAAUGCCAAUCUUUAUCACUCUGUUACGUAUCUACUCCUACCUACUUGAAUCUUCUAUUCCCAGUUAAUUAGAAAUUUUGUUAUUUGUGGACAUCUCCUAAAUACAUCAAGUAAUUUUUGUGUUAAAGAGCAGUACGUUCUGUUUUCAUUUGUGACCCAAAGGUCAGCAACGUAAAGCUUGCAUGCAUCUGAAGGCAUGUUCCAUCCUUGAAUAUAUACUAAUAUAAAGGCAUGUUACAAUUGUGUGCAGGUAGAAAAUUCAUCAUUUUAGUGUCCAUCUGAAGAAUCACAUCGUGAUAGGAACAAGGACAAUGGCUGGCAUGUUGGUAGGAAUCUGAGAUGAUAAAAAAUAGUACUCAUCCAACUGCUAACUGAAUAUGCUGGAAAUUAGCUCAUAGUUACACAUAUAUUAUUACUGGGGCAGUACUGCCCUAGACUUGCAUAUUCAGAAUUAAUUGAUCUCACACAGUAGUGCCAUUUGUCGACACACCGUAUGAUAUAUGAAUAAAACCAUAAAAGUGUAUAUGAAACUGUAUAAUCUGGCACUUCGUUUCAUGCCUACAUCAAUGCAAUGUCCUUUUUAUGUUAUCAUGGCAUACAUAGAUAAUUAAAUGAGGAUUCUUUGAUAAUGUCUCCAUCUCUUGAGCUAAGCACAUGCUGUCAACAUCAUGGAACGACAUGGAGCUGCAGACAUGCACUUUGGCGCAGAGGUUGACUUGCAGCUGCGUCUGCAAUCUCCCAAACAAAUGAGCAGCACCAUGCAGUUGUGGGCUUGCAGCAGGUUGGCGGGCGAAUGGUCAUAGCAGGAAUACAACGGGCAUGUCGACUGCUGCGAGUAUUCCAUUCAAGUCGACAACUAUAUUUGCAAGAGUUUUACACCACCGUAUGAUCGAUGAAUUCGAGGUCUGAGGCCCGUCCAAGGGCUAGAGCAGAUUCAUCGGACGGUGGAGUUGAGUGACCCACUCAUUGAUACCAGGUGUGCUCAAGUGAAGCCAGGGAUUUGAUCCAUCCAUCUCGGAGCGCAUGAAUCAACAGAGGAUCCAUCCAGUCAAACAAGUGAAUUUAGGCUUGAUUAAUUAGCAGGAGCAUACGAGUGUCUUUUGCACAUGUAGUUUAGGUUUGUACAGGUUCAGGUAGUCAACUGUUAAGCAUGGUAGGAUCCGCAAGCUGGGCAGUAGGCAGCGUCACGGUACGAUCCAGCAGGAAGGCGGAGGAGGCGGCCCGUGGUGACUGGGGAGGAUACAAAGGGGGAUGGAGAGGUUGCGGGAAAUUUAUGGGUCUGGACUGGAGCAGAGGGAGAUAGAGAAUGGGUGAGAAAGAUGGAGAUGUUGAUAGGUAAUACCUGUUGGAAAGAGAUGUUGAUAGUUUACUUUUCUUCAUCUCCAACGCAACUAUCAACUGAUGCGCUGACUGUAUCAUCACAGUUCUCAUGUAAGCAAAGGAUCUUGCUUCUUCCCAAAUUAGAUUUUGAAGUAUUUCACUUCUAUUGUUUCUCCAGGUAUACUGCAUUUGAUCACGGUUCUCAUGUGAUCGGCUACCUGCAGAUCUACAUACUAGGGCGAUAAUAUGCAAUGUAGGAGUCUUGACCAUCCAAUGAUUUAUUUGUGUUUGGUUUUGCUGCAUCGGUCAAUAUGUGCAUAUCCUUGGAUGUAGUAUUGCUUUUCCUAAGUGUGUUUUGUAGAUCAGAUAAUGAUUCGCAAUGUACUAGGAGGUUUGGACAGCAAGUGAUUGUCACCAACACCAAGGAUCAGGUUCCUGCCAGAAGAACCCAAAGCAGAGCAAGAGAAGGAAAAUGAAGGUGAAGUUGCAGGUUCUGUUGGAGAGAGGGCUUCAUCACAUACUUGCUGCGAAGGCCAUGUUGUCGAGGAGCCGGUGACUGCCGCUCCAGCUGCCUCGCGCCAUGCCCCGUCGUGUGGGGUGCAUUGUGAGAGUUCUGCAUCAGGCUCGCGCCACCGCUCCGGCAGGUACUCAACGCGCAAUCAUGGGUUGUUGUGUUAACUUGAUACAGUUGCUGAUAACAGUGAUGCGGCACUCUAGCUAAUAGGCAGUAUUGGUGUCGACUGGAGCAACUAGAGUCGCUAGCUGUUAUGCUAAAAGAAUAGGGUGGAUUUGCUUCAUGCAAGAAGACAGUAAGGAUAAAGCAGCAAAAAGCAGGCCAUUAGUGGUGAUGGAUAAUUUCUCCAAUCAAUUUAACGUAGAUGCCUUCCAACAUUGCACACUAAGCGAUUGCAUUUUUUAGAUAUAUAGAAAGGUGGCUUCUGUUUUCAAGAAAGUUGGCAUGGCGUGAUUGUUAAUUUUUUAUGCCAACAAUUACAUAAGCUUGGCUGACAAGUAUACAUUCUGAAAUGAUAUUGACAUAUUUAGACCGAACCUUUAAACCUAGCAUAUUUAUUUUUCUCACCUAAUGAUUUUUAUUAUGUAUGAUAUGUAUUGCAUAGACUGCUGGCUUUGACAUUACAAUCUGGAACUAAAUAAAUAAAAAUAGAGAAAUUCAUAUAGUGGCAGUAAAGUGCUAACAAGUUAUAAUCUGUUUUUAGUUGCAUUACAGUAAGAGGAAACCUUUAUUUUACUUGUGAGCAUUGUAAUUGUUUGCGAAGGGCUAAUGUUAAUAAGAUAUGCAUACAAAUCUUAGCCUGGAGGCCGUGCUUUGUUCAAAGUAGCUGGGUAUAUGUACAAUAAAUAAAUAUUCAUGUGUUAUCUUGGUACUGUACAAUAUUGUUGAGAGUGGUUUAAUUCACAGGUUUAGUAGCUCGUGAGAGAUAUUAAAGUUCA